rnacentral:lncRNA from 1 species
CCAGCCUAUGCGGCCCGGCCCGGCCCGGCCUCCGAUCGGGCCCGCUCCCCCGCCCGCGCCCCGCCCGCACCGAGCACCCGAAGCGCGGGAGCGCGCGCGCCCUACGGGCCGCACCAUCGUACAGGCCGCUGGGGGAGGAGCUCCCGGGAGCAAUCCAGACGCUGGCGCCAAGAAGAGCCUCUCCUACAGCCUGCGGCCCCAAAGGACACAGACACCAGCGCACCCUGCUCCGCAGACGUACAGCCGGAUGCCAUUUCCCUCCUAUGAGCCUGCCGCGGGCACGGGGAAUCCGGCUCCCCCCGCGGGCCGCACUGAGCUCGUCCGGGGGCGGGGGCGGACGGCCCCUACCGUCACCCCACGCGGCCUCGGUCUGCGCAGGCGCGCAGAGGGGGUGGACUCUUGGCCGGGGCGACGGCUACGGCGACUUGGUGGAGCGAGUGUCGCGACGUCCUGCCGCCGAGCGAGGAGCGCCUCCUGGGCCUGCCCAACCACGGCUUUGGGCCACGGGUGUGCGUCCACUCGCCGAGACACCUGACGACCGCGGCCGAGGGGGAAGGCAGCGCAGACGGGGCGCUCCCCGGUGUCGCUGGGCUGCGGGGGUCGGGACAGGGUCCAGAAGCCUUUGAUGCAAAUGUUAGCCGGCCGGUCAAAGCGAAGACGACGCCUUUGCAGUCCUCCGUGACACCGCGAUGCGAUAGCUCCGUCACGUUGAGGCUCAAGCUGGCCUGUGUCCUGUUACUGGAGUUCGUGGUGAAAAGCGGCCCUGGAGGGUCUCCCUAUUCGGUUCAGACUGGCUUUGAACUUGCCUCCAUCUUCCUUCCUCGGCCUCCCAACUGCUGGGAUUACAAGCAUGCGCCACCAUGCCUGGUGGCUUUUUACAUUGGAGCCGCCUGAAACCCUUUUCUAAGCCUAGCAAAUUUCUUUUACAAAUGAUAGAAACAUUGACUGCUGGCCUGAAUGAAUAACCAAGAAUUUGUCAUCCGUUUUUUGUUUUUGUGACAUUGCUCUGUAGUCAGGAAAUCUUUGAAUGCCCAAGAAUAUACUGAAAACGCCAGCGUGAUAAAUUGUAUUUCCAAAUACACAACUGUCUUCGUUGGCCUGUGUGGAACUUUAGUAUCUGUUUGCUGCCUACUUAAACGCAGACUGAACAGGUUAUUUUGUUAAAACGCUUGACCUCAACCUGGUGUCUUAUUUUCUAAGUGAAGAAUAUAAUCAGUAAAAUUCAGCAGGACCAGUUUACCUUACUUCAAGUUCUGGUAGUAAAGCAAGUCGAGGACCUAAGAAACCUGCACAAUUAAAAUCCAUUCAAGCUAUGAGGCAGAAAUCACACAAAAAAUGGUUCGGUGUCUAAGCCAAAUUUUACCUGAAAUCAACUUCAUUUGGAUAGUAGACGUUCUAAGGAAGUCUAAGAAAUGUCCUGAAGUCAUGAAGAAUGGUGGUUCAACUUUUAAAGAUAAGCAGUGAAACUCAGAAGAAAAUUAUUUUAAGUUCAUUUCUGUAAUAUAAAAUGUCCAUUACAAAAUUGCAGGGAAAAUGCCACGUUGAGAUUGCUGUGUUUUAUUCAUUGAUAAAUAGAUAAUUCUUUUAUCGCUGAUUUUUGUGACACUUAGAAGAUGACGCAGUUAAGGUAAUAUUUCAUUGAACAAGGAGUUUUGUCUCUCUUCUUUGACUGUGAGGCAUGUAGUACCCCAAAUAUGAUGCUCUGAGUGUUGAUAUUUUAUAGAGUUUUCCCAAGUAAAUUCAAAGCAUGAUCAUGUUGUGACUUCCAGAGAAUGAACACCCUGAGUGCUGAUCCUGAUUUUGUAAAUGUGGUAACACGGUUCCCAUUUUGUAUUGGAAAAUUAUACUGAGCUUAGAAAAAAUGAAAAUGUAGAAUGAGAAAAGUAGAAUUGGGAAUAUAUCACCCCCUUUGUACCUCUGAGGGAAACCCAAGGCAGUUAUUUAGAUAAGUAUUACCAAAUGACUUUUUAAAAAUCCAUUUCUGUAUUGUAUACAGUAGUCUCGAUCUUGGCUUUGUGUUUUGUUCAGUUAACCCACACACCCCUCAGAGUUAGAUGUUAUCCAUGUUCAGUAAAUCUUUAGUCUGUUUUUAUAGGCUACAACAAACACAUCCUUCUCAUGAAAGGGACAGAAUACUCAGAGACACAAGACAGUUUUCUCAGUGACCCCAGUGGUCAUUUAACUAGUCAGCUAGCAUGGAAAAACUGGGAAGCACAAGUAAAACAGUAAAUUAUCCCAAAUCCUUACUGAGAUCCUUCCAGAUAUUGUCCCAUAUAAAUAUAUUUUUCCUUUAACAAGAAAAACCAUACCCUGGACACACUUCUAAUGCCCCUUCCCAAAAAAAAAAAAUUCAAGAAUGUCUUCCAUGUCAGUAAAUAAUAGAUCUACAUCCUUUAAUGAAUACCUAAUUGUGUUCAUUUCUCAUUGCUGUGACAAACUACCUGACAAAGGAGAAAAGGUUUGUUUUCUUUUAAGGUUUCUGAGGUUCCAGUCCACGGUCAGCUGGCUAUCAGGCCUGUGGUAAGGCAGAAAUAUGGCAGAAGCACAUGACAAGGGAAAGCUGCCUCACCUCGUGGCAGCCAGGGAGCAGGGAGAAGAGCCAGGGGGAAAAGAGCCUAUGAGCAGAUAAUUGCCAAAGUUACACCCCCAGGAGCACUCCUUUCCAGUAGGCCCUACCUUCUGUUUCCAUCACCUUCUGACAGUGUCAUCAGAUUGUGAUUUCAUCAGUGGGUUCAUCCAUUUGAUAAAAUUAGAGGCUUCCUGAUCUGGUCACCAUCCUCUGAACACAGAAGCUUUUGGGGGAACAUUUUAGGUCUAAACCAUAACAAUAGCACUCCAUUGUUUUUUUCAUUAUUUAGUACUGUGUCAUCACACAUUUCUUGUUUCCCAUUUAACAACUAUAAACAAUGCUGCAACAAAGCUGGCAUCUUUUUGAAGAAGGAGGGGGGAGGGGAGGGGGGAAAAGGAAAGAGUCAACUUUUAAUUAUAACUGACCAAACUUCACCAGGAAUGUCUUUGAACGAUGGAGGCAAAAACAUGAUAAAAUUCUCCUACUGAAGAAACCAAGGCUUCUCGUUGGUCCUGGUGCUCCCUGAGGCCCAGGCCAAGGGCAGAAGGUCCCCGAGGCCAGCUCUGCUCCCCUCACGUCUUUCAUCAUCGCAAGGGACAGCUGGGAACAGCGAGGGGCCCGUCCCCUCCUCCUGUCACACCACAGCUCUGAGGAAGUCACUGCUCGGCGAACCUCUCCGGCCUCACUUCCUGUCCUAAGCCUUUGUGGUCCAGCAGCUGGGAAGCAAGAGGAAGACCUGAAAACCAAUGUUUUGCUGUCAGAGUGGGGUGAGAGGAUGAAGCUAAAACUAGAAAUACUGGACCAUAUUUGGUAUUGAUUUAAGCCAAAUUGCACACUAAAUACUACACAUAAUAAUAAAAGAGUUAUCACAGCCUGC